rnacentral:rRNA from 1 species
GUGAAAAGCACCCCGACGAGGGGAGUGAAACAGUACCUGAAACCGAACGCCUACAAUCAGUUGGAGGGCCCUUGCGGCCUGACAGCGUACCUUUUGUAUAAUGGGUCAUCGACUUGGUCUCACGAGCAAGCUUAAGCCGUUAGGUGUAGGCGCAGCGAAAGCGAGUCUUAAUAGGGCGAAUGAGUUCGUGGGAUCAGACCCGAAACCGAG